rnacentral:ncRNA from 1 species
GGCUUGGUCCUGACUUUACUAUAAGCUUUAGCCGAACUUAUACAUGCAAGUCUCCGCGCCCCUGUGAGAAUGCCCUCACCCCCCCCCCCCCGGACAAGAGGAGCUGGCAUCAGGCACACCUCUCGAGCCCAAGACGCCUUGCUAAGCCACACCCUCAAGGGAAUUCAGCAGUAAUAAACAUUAAAACAUAAGUGAAAACUUGAUUUAAUUAAGGCUAAAAGGGCCGGUAAAAUCCGUGCCAGCCACCGCGGUUAUACGGAAGACCCCAGUUUAUAGCUACGGCGUAAAGGGUGGUUAGGGGAAACCUAAAAUAAGGCCAAAGAGCCCCUAAGCAGUCAUACGCUUCCCGAGAACACGAAGCCCAGAUACUAAAGUCGCCUUAAACCUUACCUGACCCCACGAAAGCUGAAAAACAAACUGGGAUUAGAUACCCCACUAUGCUCAGCCUUAAACCCAGAUAAAAUUUACAAAACUAUCCGCCAGGGGACUACAAGCACAGCUUUAAACCCAAAGGACUUGGCGGUGCCUCAGAUCCGCCUAGAGGAGCCUGUUCUAGAACCGAUAAUCCCCGUUAAACCUCACCACUUCUUGCCCUUACCGCCUGUAUACCACCGUCGUCAGCUUGCCCUGUGAAGGCUCUAGUAGUAAGCAAAAUGAGUUUAACCCAAAACGUCAGGUCGAGGUGUAGCACACGAAGUGGGAAGAAAUGGGCUACAUUUUCUAUUACAGAAUACACGAAUAAUGCCAUGAAAACAGCAUCUGAAGGAGGAUUUAGUAGUAAAAAGUAAGUAGAGUGUACUUUUGAAUUAGGCUCUGAGGCGCGCACACACCGCCCGUCACCCUCCCCCCUUCACCCCAACCACAACUAUUUCUAAUACCUAGACAUAACACACGGGGAGGCAAGUCGUAACAUGGUAAGUGUACCGGAAGGUGCACUUGGAACAAUC